GGCGGCAUAGCCAAGUGGUUAAGGCGUUGGUCUGCAAAGCCAAUAUCGGCGGUUCGAUUCCGCCUGCCGCCUCCA
rnacentral:tRNA from 1 species